CCUACGAGAGGCAGCAGUGGGGAAUAUUGGGCAAUGGAGGCAACUCUGACCCAGCAACGCCGCGUGAAUGAUGAAGGUCUUCGGAUUGUAAAGUUCUGUGAUGGGGGAUGAACACAAUGACGGUACCCCAAUAGCAAGCCACGGCUAACUACGUGCCAGCAGCCGCGGUAAUACGUAGGUGGCAAGCGUUAUCCGGAAUGACUGGGCGUAAAGGGUGCGUAGGUGGUUUAGUAAGUUGGCGGUGUAAUUCCGGGGCUCAACCUCGGCGCUACCGCCAAAACUAUUAGACUAGAGUGCAGGGGGGGGAAGUGGAAUUCCUAGUGUAGCGGUGGAAUGCGUAGAUAUUAGGAGGAACAUCAGGGGCGAAGGCGACUUACUGGACUGUAACUGACACUGAGGCACGAAAGCGUGGGGAGCAAACAGGAUUAGAUACCCCUGUAGUC
rnacentral:rRNA from 1 species